CAAUAGCGUAUAUUAAAGUUGUUGCGGUUAAAAGCUCGUAGUUGGAUUUCUGCCGAGGACGACCGGUCCGCCCUCUGGGUGAGUAUCUGGUUCGACCUGGGCAUCUUCUUGGAGAACGUGGCUGCACUUGAUUGUGUGGUGCGGUAUCCAAGACUUUUACUUUGAGGAAAUUAGAAUGUUUCAAGCAGGCACACGCCUUGAAUACAUUAGCAUGGAAUAAUAAGAUAGGACCUCGGUUCUAUUUUGUUGGUUUCUAGAGCUGAGGUAAUGAUUAACAGGGAUAGUUGGGGCGAUUCGUAUUUAACUGUCAGAAGUUAAAUUCUUGGAUUUGUUAAAGACGGACUACUGCGAAAGC
rnacentral:rRNA from 1 species